rnacentral:rRNA from 1 species
CAAUAGCGUAUAUUAAAGUUGUUGCGGUUAAAAGCUCGUAGUUGGAUUUCUGUCGAGAACGGCCGGUCCGCACUAUGUGCGUGUAUCUGGUUCGGUCUUGGCAUCCUCUUGGAGAACGUAACUGCGCUUGAUUGCGUGGUGCGGUAUUCAAGACUUUUACUUUGAGGAAAUUAGAGUGUUCACGGCAGGCAAGCGCCUUGAAUAUAUUAGCAUGGAAUAAUAAUAUAGGAUCUCGGUUCUAUUUUGUUGGUUUCUAGAAUCAGGAUAAUGAUUAAUAGGGAUAAUUGGGGGCAUUUGUAUUAACGCGUCAGAGGUGGAAUUCUUGGAUUGCGUUACGACAAACUACUGCGAAAGCAUUUGCCAAGGAUGUUUUCAUUGAUCAAGAACGAAAGUAUGGGGAUCGAAGACGAUUAGAUACCAU